GUCCUUGUAGCACAAUGGAUAGCGCGUUGAACUUCUAAUCCAAAGGUCGUUGUUGGUUCGAAUUCUACUAGGGAUG